rnacentral:rRNA from 1 species
AUACGGAGGGUGCAAGCGUUACUCGGAAUCACUGGGCGUAAAGCGCGCGCAGGCGGCUUGAUAAGUUGGAUGUGAAAGCCUACGGCUCAACCGUAGAACUGCAUCCAAAACCGUCAGGCUAGAGUGUGGGAGAGGAAGAUGGAAUUAGUUGUGUAGGGGUAAAAUCCGUAGAGAUAACUAGGAAUACCAAAAGCGAAGGCAAUCUUCUGGAACACUACUGACGCUGAGGCGCGAAGGCGUGGGGAGCAAACAGGAUUAGAAACCCGAGUAGUCC